rnacentral:lncRNA from 1 species
GGUCUCCAGCUCCUAACCAGAAGUGAUCUGCCAGCCUCGGCCUCCCAAGGUGCUGGGAUUGCAGAUGGAGUCUCAUUCACUCAGUGCUCAAUGUUGCCCAGGCUGGAGUGCAGUGGCAUGAUCUCGGCUCGCUACAACCUCCACCUCCCAGCCGCCUGCCUUGGCCUCCCAAAGUGCCGAGAUUGCAGCCUCUGCCCGGCCGCCACCCUGUCUGGGAAGUGAGGAGCGUCUCUGCCUGGCUGCUCAUCAUCUGGGACGUGAGGAGCCCCUCUGCCUGGCUGCCCAGUCUGGGAAGUGAGGAGCGCCUCUUCCCGGCCGCCAUCCCGUCUAGGAAGUGAGGAGCGUCUCUGCCCGGCCGCCCAUCAUCUGAGAUGUGGGGAGCGCCACUGCCCCACCGCCCCGUUUGGGAUGUGAGGAGCACCUCUGCCCGGCCGCGACCCCGUCUGGGAGGUGAGGAGCGUCUCUGCCCGGCCACCCUAUCUGAGAAGUGAGGAGCCCCUCCGCCCAGCAGCCGCCCCGUCUGAGAAGUGAGGAGCCCCUCCACCCGGCAGCCGCCCCGUCUGGGAAGUGAGGAGCGUCUCCGCCCGGCAGCCGUCCCGUCCAGGAGCUGGACUCCGUCCCAUAGAUGAGCUGAAGCAAAAGGACCUUCACACAGAACUUUUAUCAUCAGCCUGAGGAAAAGUACUCGAAGGACAAGGCCAUUGGUUGGGAACUUACACCAAAAAAAAAAAAAGAAAAAAAACCUGAAUUAUAGAUACUAUGAAUAUGAUGAAAAUAAGCAGAACGGACCGGGUGCAGUGGCUCACACCUGUAAUCCCAGCACUUUGGGAGGCCGAGGCAGACAGAUCACCCGAGGUCAGGAGUUCGAGACCAGCCUGGCCAACCAUGGCCAACAUGGUGAAGCCCCGUCUCUACUAAAAAUACAAAAAUUAGCCAAGCACAGUGGCGCACACCUGUAAUCCCAGCUACUCGGGAAGCUGAGGCAGAAUUGCUUGAACCCAGGAGGCAGAGGUUGCAAUGAGCCAAGAUCGUACCACUGCACUUCAGCCUGGGAGACAGUGCAAGACCCCAUCUCAAAAAAAAAAAAAGAGGAAGGAAAAGACAAGACUGAUGGGAUAGGAGGGUGUGAAAGGAACUUUAUUAUUAGGAAGAAUAUAAAUAAUUAAAAAUUAUUCAAUGAAGUAGCAUAAAGUCAAAUUAAAGCAACUACAUUAACAAGAAAAUAGAAUGUAUAGUUUUCAAAACAUGAGAAGAAUGUUGGCUCUAUGUAAUGGAAAGUAACAAAGGUGGGGAAAGAAACAACAAAGAAGGCACAGUACAUGAAAAAUAUAAAAUUAAAUGGCAGAAUAAGUCCUAAUAUUAUAGUAAUUGUAAUAAAGAUGGGUAAAGUAAACACACUUCUUAAAAGACAAACGUUCCUGGGUUGAGUUUCUUCCUUAAGGUUCAGCAAUAUGUUGCAUACAAGAGAAACACUGAAAAUAAAAAAACUUUAUCACGGGCUGGGCGCAGUGGCUUAUGCCUAUAAUCCCACCACUUUGGGAAGCCAAGGCAGGCGGUUCACCUGAGGUCAGGAGUUCGAGACCAGCCUGACCAACAUGGAGAAACCUCAUCUCUACUAAAAAUACAAAAAAAUUAGCCAGGCGUGGUAGCACAUGCCUAUAAUCCCAGCCGCUCGGGAGGCUGAGGCAGGAGAAUCGCUUGAAUCUAGGAGGUGGAGGUUGCAGUGAGCCAAGAUCACACCAUUGCACUCCAGCCUGGGCAACAAGAGUGAAACUCCAUCUGAAAAAAAAUAAAAAACCAUUUCAAAUAUUUAAACAAGAAAAUAGAAGGAAUAAACAAAAGGAAGAAAAUACAUGAAGCAAAUAUAAACCAAAAAAAAAUCAGGGAAGUAAUUUUAAUAUUUGACAAAAGAGGAUACAAGAGGAAAAAUAUAAAAGACAAAGAAUGAGGUAAUACAAGAAAAUACAAACACCAGGAACAUAAAAGCACCUACUCAUAUAGCCUCAAAAUAUAUAAAACAACAACUGAUAAAAUUUCUGAGGCUGGGUGUGGUGGCUCAUGCCUAUAAUCCCAGCAUUUAGAGAGGCCAGGGUGGGAGGACUGCUUGAGCCCAGGAGUUCCAAGACCAGCCUGGGCAGAAUAGUGGGACCUCAUCGCUAUUAAAAAAUAAUAAUAAUUAAUUAAAAAUUAAAAAGAAAAAAUGUUUUUUGGAAGAAAUAGAUUAAUUAUGGUUAGAGAUUUUUUACACACCUUUCUCUGAAACUGGUUGAUCAAGGAGACAAAAAUAAGCAGAGGUAUAAAAUAGCUGUAUAAUAUCAUUGGUAAAUUCAAGCUAUUGGGCUGGCCAUGGUGGCUCAUUCCUGUAAUCCCAGAACUUUGGAGGGCCAAGAUGGGUGGAUCACCUGAGGUCAGGAGUUCCAGACCAGCCUGGCCAACAUGGCAAAACCCCAUCUCAACUAAAAAUACAAAAAUUAGUUGGGCAUGGUGGUGGGCACCUGUAGUCCCAGCUACUAGGGAGGCUGAGGCAGGAGGAUCACUUGAACCCAGGAGGCAGAGGUUGCAGUGAGCCGAGAUCACACCACCACACUCCAGCCUGGGCAACAGAGCGAGACUCCACCUCAACAACAACAACAAAAAAUUUAAGCUAUUGGUGUAUAUAGAAUUUCACACCCAACAAAGAGAAAAUACAUAAUCUUUUCUAGCAUGUAUGUAUCACGUAAUAUUGAAUAUGUUGGAUGCUAUAAAGAAAGCCUUGAAAAAUUUCAGAGACUCACUAUUAUCAGAUUAAGGCCAGAUGUGUUGGCUCACACCUAUAAUCCCAGCACUUUGGGAAGCUGAAGCAGGAGGAUCGCUUGAGCCCAGGAAUUCGAGGCUGCAGUGAGUUAUGAUUGUGCCAUUGCACUCCAGCCUGGGCAACAGAGCAAAACGCUGUCUCAAAAAAAAAAAAAAAAAAAAAAAAAAGGGCCACCUGUAAUCCCACCACUUUGGGAGCCCAAGGAGGGCAAAUCACAAGGUCAGGAGAUCAAGACCAUCCUGGCUAACACGGUGAAACCCUGUCUCUACUAAAAUUAGCCGGGUGUGGUGGCAGGCGCCUGUAGUCCCACCUACUCAGGAGGCUGAGGCAGGAGAAUGGCAUAAACCUGGGAGGUGGAGCUUGCAGUGAGCUGCCAUCACGCCACUGCAUUCCAGCCUAGGCGACAGAGCGAGACUCCAUCUCAAAAAAAAAAAAAAAAGUUUGCAAUAUUAUACAGAUUAUGUUUUUCUGACUGCAAUGCAACAAAAUUUUUAAAUUAAUAGAUAAUAACGGCCAAGUGCGGUGGCUCACGCCUGUAAUCUCAGCACUUUGAUAGGCCGAGGCUGGCAGAUCACCUGAGGUCAGAAGUUCAAGACCAGCCUGGCCAACAUGGUGAAACCCUGUCUCUACUAAAUAUACAAAAAAUUAGCUGGGCAUGGUGGUGAGCGCCAGUAAUCCCAGCUACUCAGGAGGCUGAGGCAAGAGAAUCGCUUGAACCUGGGAGGCAGAGGUAGCAGUGAGCCAAGAUCGAGCCAUUGCACUCCAGCCUGGGCAACAGGGCAAGAGUCCGUCUCAAACAAACAAAAAUAGAUAAUAAAAUAGUUUUAAAAUAAAUCACCCAAAAAACUGAAAACAGCCCAAUGUCCAUCAAUAGGACUAUAGAUAAAUAGGGUAUUUUCAUACAAUGAAAUAUGAUAGAGUAGUAAAAAUGAAUGA